CGAGUCGGCCGGGUGACGGCCUCGAGCAAUCGGGGAGGAAAGUCCGGACUUCACAGGGCAAGGUGCCCGGCGCAAGCCGGGGCGGGGCGACCCGACGGAAAGUGCCACAGAAACCAGACCGCCUCGGCUUGCCGGGGUAAGGGUGAAAAGGUGCGGUAAGAGCGCACCGGCGUCUCGGGCAACCGGGGCGGCCGGGCAAACCCCACUUGAAGCAAGGCCAAAUAGGGAGGGGAUGACGUGGCCCGCCGACCCUCCGGGUUGGCCGCAUCAGAUAAAUCGUCACACAAAGACAGAAUCCGGCUUAUAGGCCGACUCGACUA
rnacentral:RNase_P_RNA from 1 species